AGUGAACGCUGGCGGCGUGCUUAACACAUGCAAGUCGAACGAGAACGGGUUAUAGCUUGCUAUAAUUGUCAGCUAAGUGGCGCACGGGUGAGUAAUGUAUAGGUAAUAUGCCUCUUACUAAGGGAUAACAAAUGGAAACGUUUGCUAAUACCUUAUACUCCUUAUUAACAUAAGUUAAUAAGGGAAAGAUUUAUUGGUAAGAGAUUAGCCUGUAUUGUAUCAGUUAGUUGGUGGGGUAAUGGCUUACCAAGACUAUGACACAUAACUGGUUUGAGAGGAUGAUCAGUCACACUGGAACUGAGACACGGUCCAGACGCCUACGGGAGGCAGCAGUGGGGAAUAUUGCACAAUGGACGAAAGUCUGAUGCAGCAACGCCGCGUGGAGGAUGACACAUUUCGGUGCGUAAACUCCUUUUAUAUGAGAAGAUAAUGACGGUAUUAUAUGAAUAAGCACCGGCUAGCUCCGUGCCAGCCGCCGCCGUAACAC
rnacentral:rRNA from 1 species